UCUAUCCCCAAAAGCUUAUUUCACUCCCUACCUAGUUAUCUUUUUUUUUAUUAAUGGUUUGAAGGUGGUUAUUAUUCUCAUUUUUUUAAUUAAAUGGAUCGAUCCGAACAGAAAUGGUUUUCUCAUAUCUAAUGUUAUAUAUUAUAUAUAUGAUAUACGUACAAAUGAAUAUCUUUGAACAAGGAGUACUCAUUUGAGUAAUUCACAAUCCAUAGCAUUACUCGUACUAAAACUUAUAGACAAAGUCCCUCUUUGCGAAGACCCAAGAAAUUCCGGUACCUAGAUAAGACUUUGUAAUACUUUUCAUCCUUUUUUUAAUUGACAUAAACCCAAGUUAUCUAGUAAAAUGAGGAGAUGAUGCACCAGAAAGGGGAAUGGUCGGGAUAGCUCAGCUGGUAGAGCAGAGGACUGAAAAUCCUCGU
rnacentral:misc_RNA from 1 species